rnacentral:rRNA from 1 species
UGGGGGAUAUUGCACAAUGGGCGAAAGCCUGAUGCAGCGACGCCGCGUGGGGGAUGAAGGCCUUCGGGUUGUAAACUUCUUUUGCUCUGAACAAGGCAUGCUAAUGGGUGUGUUGAGUGUAGGGGUUGAUUAGCGCCGGCUAACUACGUGCCAGCAGCCGCGGUAAUACGUAGGGCGGGAGCGUUGUCCGGAAUUAUUGGGCGUAAAGGGCUUGUAGGUGGGUGGUUGCGUCUGUCGUGAAAGCUCAUGGCUUAACUGUGGGUUUGCGGUGGGUACGGGCUGGAUUGAGUGCAGUAGGGGAGGCUGGAAUUCCUGGUGUAGCGGUGGAAUGCACAGAUAUCAGGAGGAAUACCGGUGGCGAGGGCGGGUCUCUGUGCUGUUACUGACACUGAGGAGCGAAAGCAUGGGGAGCGAACAGG